rnacentral:rRNA from 1 species
GUGCCAGCCGCCGCGGUAAUACGUAGGGGGCAAGCGUUGUCCGGAAUUACUGGGCGUAAAGCGCGUGUAGGCGGGACGGCAAGUCGGACGUGAAAGGCUCGGGCUCAACCCGAGACGGCCGUUCGAAACUGCCGUUCUUGAGGGUCGAAGAGGAGUGUGGAAUUCCUGGUGUAGCGGUGAAAUGCGUAGAGAUCAGGAGGAACACCCGUGGCGAAGGCGGCACUCUGGUCGACAUCUGACGCUGAGACGCGAAAGCGUGGGGAGCGAACGGGAUUAGAAACCCUGGUAGUCC